rnacentral:rRNA from 1 species
GACGAACGCUGGCGGCGUGCUUAACACAUGCAAGUCGAACGGAAAGGCCCUGCUUUUGUGGGGUGCUCGAGUGGCGAACGGGUGAGUAACACGUGAGUAACCUGCCCUUGACUUUGGGAUAACUUCAGGAAACUGGGGCUAAUACCGGAUAGGAGCUCCUGCUGCAUGGUGGGGGUUGGAAAGUUUCGGCGGUUGGGGAUGGACUCGCGGCUUAUCAGCUUGUUGGUGGGGUAGUGGCUUACCAAGGCUUUGACGGGUAGCCGGCCUGAGAGGGUGACCGGCGACAUUGGGACUGAGAGACGGCGCAGACUCCUAGGGGAGGCAGCGGUGGGGAAUAUUACACAAUGGGCGGAAGCCUGAUGCAGAGACGCCGCGUGCGGGAUGACGGCCUUCGGGUUGUGAACCGCUUUCGCAUGUGACGAAGCGUGAGUGACGGUAAUGGGUAAAGAAGCACCGGCUAACUACGUG